rnacentral:rRNA from 1 species
AGUGAACGCUGGCGGUAGGCCUAACACAUGCAAGUCGAACGGCAGCGCAGUAAGAGCUUGCUCUUACGGGUGGCGAGUGGCGGACGGGUGAGGAAUACAUCGGAAUCUACUUUUUCGUGGGGGAUAACGUAGGGAAACUUACGCUAAUACCGCAUACGACCUACGGGUGAAAGCAGGGGAUCUUCGGACCUUGCGCGAUUGAAUGAGCCGAUGUCGGAUUAGCUAGUUGGCGGGGUAAAGGCCCACCAAGGCGACGAUCCGUAGCUGGUCUGAGAGGAUGAUCAGCCACACUGGAACUGAGACACGGUCCAGACUCCUACGGGAGGCAGCAGUGGGGAAUAUUGGACAAUGGGCGCAAGCCUGAUCCAGCCAUACCGCGUGGGUGAAGAAGGCCUUCGGGUUGUAAAGCCCUUUUGUUGGUAAAGAAAAGCAGCAGGUUAAUACCCCGCUGUUCUGACGGUACCCAAAGAAUAAGCACCGGCUAACUUCGUG